UGAAAAUUGUCAAGAUCAUGGACUGGAAACAUUGUGUAGUUGCUCUGCCUCUCAUAAACUCUAAACUGUAGUUGUUGUUGCAGAUUAUAUAUGGAACUGCUAGUAAUUAACUUCUGCUAUUUAAUCAUUUGCACCAAAAGUGUAGAACAAAGCAUAGGACUGAAUGUGUUUUUCUUUCAAAAAACUGAAGCCAUAAUGCAAAGUUCUAUUGUACUAUACCUGACAAGCAAAACCUACAGGAGUUGACAUAAAUUUGCUUGGUUUCAGUCUUUGUUUUCAAUUUCUGCUCAUAAAUUUGCACAUAAUUACUCUUGUAACAUUUCCUUGUAAAUAC
rnacentral:lncRNA from 1 species